AUCUUUUCGGUGUAUGGCACAGAAGAAUUUGAUCCUUCAAGAGGGCAGCCAUGGCCCAAGAGAUG
rnacentral:tRNA from 1 species